rnacentral:rRNA from 1 species
CACGUAGGGGGGCGAGCGUUGUCCGGAUUUAUUGGGCGUAAAGAGCUCGUAGGCGGUUUCGUAAGUCGGAUGUGAAAACUCCAGCUCAACUUGGAGACGCCAUUCGAUACUGCGAUGACUUGAGUCCGGUAGGGGAGUGUGGAAUUCCUGGUGUAGCGGUGAAAUGCGCAGAUAUCAGGAGGAACACCGGCGGCGAAGGCGGCACUCUGGGCCGGUACUGACGCUGAGGAGCGAAAGCGUGGGUAGCAAACAGG